UACGUAGGGGGCAAGCGUUGUCCGGAAUUAUUGGGCGUAAAGAGCGCGUAGGCGGUCCGAUAAGUCGGCUGUGAAAGUCAGGGGCUCAACCCUUGAAAGCCGGCCGAUACUGUCGGACUAGAGUCCGGAAGAGGCAAGUGGAAUUCCCGGUGUAGCGGUGAAAUGCGCAGAUAUCGGGAGGAACACCGGUGGCGAAGGCGGAUCUCUGGGCCUUACCUGACGCUCAGGCGCGAAAGCUGAGGGGAGCGAACGAGGA
rnacentral:rRNA from 1 species